GCUUACGGCCAAACCACCCUGAGCACGCCCGAUCUCCUCUGAUCUCGGAAGCUAAGCAGGGUCGGGCCAGGUUAGUACUUGGAUGGGAGACCGCCUGGGAAUACCAGGUGCUGUAAGCU
rnacentral:rRNA from 1 species